CGUCACCAGUUCUAAAGUAAUUUAUAUUUUGAUUGUUUUCUUCUUUCCUCGAAGUAUCAAACGAUCCCCAUUGCAUUGUGUACUUGUUUCUGCUAAAAAUAUAUGUCCGUUAUCAGUUUAUUUGGUGAUUAUAGGAGAUAUUUGUUUCUUCUUUCCCGGUGACUGGAGCGGUUUGGAUCUUGUGCGUUUGAAAUUACUUGUUCAAGUACUUGCAGAUUGCCUGUUUAUUGUUUCGACUGCUCUUUCGAUUGUUUCAUUCGAGGAAAGCUGCAUUACACUUUUGAAUAGUGCACAUUGUGUAGAAUUACGAGUCUCCUUAGCCUCAACUGAGGAUUAAGUUUAACUAGAUUUUGUUCCAUUAUUCAAGGUUAAGUAACGGCUCAAGCCUAUCGAUGAAGCUCAAGCUUGGGCUUUGCUUAUUUUCAGAUAAAUAUACUUUCACUUAAAUUUGACUCGUGAACUUCUUAGAUUGAACUCACCAGUUUUUUUUUUUUUUUUAAUCAAUCAAUAGUUUACACAUGAUGUAAAAAUUUAGACGAUAAAUUUAUGGCCAAUUUAGUAUCACGGAACUUGUGUUCAAAUCACUGCAUCUUUGCCAUGUUUCAUUCAUCAAAGAAAAGAAUUUAUAAAGUAGAAAAUGAAAAGGAGACUGAAUAAAAAGGGGAAUCUAGCAUAAAUUAUGUGUAUAUUAUUAAAUUUAGAGGCUUAAUAAAUUAAUACAUUAUGUUUUGGGUUGGUUUAGACCAAUCUAAGGCAAGCCUUCAGGAUCUUAAAGGUGUACAGACCUUGUUAUCAAGUUCAAAUUUAACUACUUUUGGCCUAAAAACUAAGCUUCAGCUCAAGGCCACUAAUUUGGGGUGGGCCAAGUAUACCAAUCUAUUGCACAAACACUUACUCCUCAUAGGUUCUUAGUAUUGGCUGAUAUUCUGGUGCUAGUUAUAACUAAAAGUAACUUCUUCCGUUUACUGUUCUUUUAUGAGCUGAAAUCCUAAUAUGGCAUUCAUGCAUGGAUUUCUUACAACUCUAAUAAUAAAAAAAUUAUAGGAUUUUGAAGAGGAAUAUUCAAGAAAUUACUUGUUAGAGCUUAAGAUAUGCCAUGGCUAAUUAAAUAUUACUGCCUCUAAUUCUGACUUGGAGCUUGCACAACUUAGGGGAGAGGAUUAGACAACCAAGAUAUUGCCAAACAGGACAGAGUUAAGUAUUUUCAUGUGAGGAGAAAAGAAUAAGAAUCUGAUAGUUCUUUCGAUCCGUUAAGCUUUGUUUGUUUUUCUUCCAUUUUCUCACAUUCUAGUUCGAACUUCCAAAUAUCUGAAGACUGGUGACAGAAGAUCAGCUCAAGGUGAAGAAAUGAUCCCUGAGGCAGGCUUAUGCUUUUCUUUUUGUUUUUAAGACCUGUAUUAAGAAUUGUUUACAAGCUGAAAGAGAUGCUGUAGUUGAAUAACUUCGGCCAUGUUUUCUGAUUCUUGUUUACAAAUUACAAUGGCAAGAGAAAGUCACUUAACUACUGCACUGUGGAAAAGAAAGACCCCUACAUAUUGUCCCUCAGUAGAUGAAAGCAAGCAUCAGGUGGUCUGGAUAAAAGAAAGAUGGAAAAGGGUUAAGAGGUAAGCAUAUAAGAUAGACUAUCGUCAUCCGGAAAUGGUGAGAAAUUGGACACAGUAACUAUAUUUGUUUAUUACAACCAUCUGAUAUUCCAUACUACUGACUAAUCCAUAUUCAAGUAUUAUUAGCUCCAAAUAGGAGAUAGCUCUCCCAACAUUGGGUUUCAUUCAUAAGGUUCGAACUUUCAACCUUACUUAAGAAAUAUUGAAUUUCUUCUGCUCAACUUGACAUCUUAAUCAUUGUUACUUAAAGAGUGUUUUUUUUUUUUUUUGGGUAUAAUUUUACAAUAGUAGUGUCAAACUGCUAAUAUUUUUCAAUUCUAAAGAUUUAGGUAGUACUUGUCUUCACCCAUACUGAAAUUUGAUAUCCUUGGUCAAAAUGGACAUGCUUCAUUUAUAUUUUUCUUAUUUUGGAUCUAGCUAUGACUGGUAUAUGAAGUUAUUUGAAGACAUGAAGCAUUAAAAAUAUUAAGCAAGACAAAAUUUAUGCGACACUUCAGGAAAGCUAGCAUGAAUGUAAAGGCUUGACGUGUUUUCUUUACGCAAGCCGCUCUAUUGAGUCAAUAGUUACUUCUUAUAUGAAUCUACAACUCAAAACAAUUUCUCUAUAUGUUCUAGAACAGCAUGUUUGAAAUUGCAAAACAAAUAAGGAACUCUACUUUGCAAUAAAAGGAGAUCAUGCUGUUGUCCCUAACAUAAAAGUACCUUGCAAAUUACAUUAAGACAACAAUAAGAAUCUUAAAUUUGUACUUGUAUCUUUAAACUUCCAGGUGCCAGUCUGCCAAUUUUCUCCUUGAUAAUAACAAUGUAGGUUCUUGUUCUCUUUUCCAUUUGACUAUUCUUUGUUUAUUCUGCUGAAAUGUUUCAUAUUAAGAUUACAAGUUUAUUUGUUAUCGCGCUUUCCUUAUAAUGAUAACAAGUGGGUUUAAAAGUUGUUCAAAUAUAGUUUUCAUUUAGGCAAUAGAUGCAUUCUAAAUAGCUUUAUAUGCAUCUGUGUUGUUAUAUUUUACUGCUAGGCUGUUUCUGAUAUUCCUGUUAACUCAUGUUUCUUCUAUAUUAUGUUGUGUUUGCAAGUAUAUUGGGAUUGGAGAUGGCGCAAAUCCGAGACGGAGACCAAAUUGAAUACAUAGCAAUACUGAAAUUGUGUUUGACAGAGUAACUUUUUUGAUUUACCAUGCAUUGCGAAAUCUCGCUGAUAUAUGAAUUGAUGAAGCUAUACUUUCUUUUUGUUUUUUUUUUUAACCUAAAAAAUUGGAUACCUGAGAGUUGCCUCUUCUUUGAUUUUGAUGGUUCAUGCUGGUUGAAACAUGGCUUGUUGGGGUAUACUGCACCCAACUUAGGAGUUUGGAUAGUGAGAUUAUUAACCUUCAUGAAGCAAUAGCGGCUCUUGUUGCAAUGGCUGAGUUUCAUGUUCACAAGAGGAGUAUAUCCUUGAAAAUUCUCAGUUCUGUUGAACCAUCAGAAAGCUGGCUUUAGGUCGCCCCGGUUUCCGUUCCACUUUGUGGGAGAAAACUUCUAAAAAGGGAAGAACCAGCUAUGGGCAAUGGUCUCAGCUGUAAGGAUAUGCUUUUUAGAAUAAUAGUCAGAUUCGAAACAGGAACUUGCAGGAAGUGAAAAAAGUGAGCCGGAGCCUGAAUUUCUCAAUAACUCAACCAGACACCUAGCAACUGAAGGGGAAAGUCACAUCAGACAAAGCAUAAAACUUAUUCCUAUUGGACAAAUUGGCAUAAAGUGGUUGGUUGCUGGAUCACAUUUAAACCGAAUUAUGCCGCAAUAUCUUGUUCAGUUUCUUCUAUAGAUUUAGAUACAUAAGCUACCUUAUAAAUCAAUGUAGAUACUGUCAUAAAGACGACGUAACCUAAUGUUCGUAACUUUUUUUGGCCAACGCCUAAUGUAGUCAGUAACACUCGUCUGAUUAUUGCAAUUGCAGUUUUCUUUCAACUAUCA